rnacentral:rRNA from 1 species
UACGUAGGGUGCGAGCGUUGUCCGGAAUUAUUGGGCGUAAAGAGCUCGUAGGCGGUCUGUCGCGUCGAUCGUGAAAACUUGGGGCUUAACCCUGAGCUUGCGGUCGAUACGGGCAUGACUGGAGUUCGGCAGGGGAGACUGGAAUUCCUGGUGUAGCGGUGAAAUGCGCAGAUAUCAGGAGGAACACCGGUGGCGAAGGCGGGUCUCUGGGCCGAUACUGACGCUGAGGCGCGAAAGCUAGGGGAGCGAACAGG